AUGCCCAGAGCACAGCACAGAUACUAAAACUGGAACGACGCGAAGAAGUCUAGCAUGGCCCCUGCACAAUGAUGCCACACAAAUGUGUGAAGUGCUUCAUUAUUUU
rnacentral:snRNA from 1 species